rnacentral:lncRNA from 1 species
UCGGUUACACGGACACUGUGGAGUUUUCGGCGGCGUCAGCCAUCACCCACCGGAAGCUGAAACAAACGAAAUUGACCAACGAUGUAAAGGUUGAGACUGCAAGGGUGAAGUACAACCGCAAGGCCACGCUGCAGAUUGGUGGCGGCGGCAAGUGAUGAUGGGGUUUGAGAAAAAAAAUGGAGUGCGCUAACGGCUGUGAAAUGCAAGGCUGUAAGGCCCGAAACAUCAUCCAGGCUUCUUCCUGUUACUGCGGACAUGGGGAAGGGAGGAGUCGGUGGCGGCUCUGUGAACUCCUCACUUCGAAGGCGCUCUGCUCCGCGAUGAAGGAAGGUCUUUGGGGGCUGUAACGUGUUUGAAUGCUAUCGGCCGCUGUGCGAGAUUCGUGUGGGCCAGGGCAGCCGAGUGCGACUUAUUAAACGUCUUUCAUGGUUAUGUGGCACAGCUGCCGCGCCCGUUCUGGAAGUGCAGUUGGCAAUGGGUCCGCCCGCCCUUGGCCGGAUUGGGCAGACAGAACAUGGCUGCGGUGAUGGUCUCGGUGACAGCCUAUGAGGCGAGGGGCAGGCGAGUAGCUGCAGCAGCCGACUGUCGUUACUGAGUGCUGGCAGUAUUAUAAGCCCGACCAUGUAUGUUAGCUGUCGGACGGUUUUUAAAAUAUUUUUGUAAGUUUAGGGCGCAUAGCUCAAGGUCUCUAACCUGCCUCGCCGCCAAUGACCCUUAGGAUGCUUCCGGAUGCUCCCCGCCUCCAUCGCCGAGAUCCUUUGCUGCGCACUCUCACCGAGCCGUGUGAACUGCUGGCUAAUGCCGUCCAUUCCAACAACAACGACAACAUAUGGCACAACAAGGAUGGAAUGGAAAGUAGGUUGUAACGUAAAAAAUGGUCAGCUAUAGAGGUCGGCAAAUAAGGCGGGUCCGUACCACAGUACUCGCAGCCGAAAUUCGCCUUAAGCCUCCGGCUGCGCGUCCCUAAUGAUCAAAACUCGACCAAAAGACGUGAUUUGCAUUCUCUAUUGCGACCCGUAGGGCCGCGCGCUGGACUUGAACUCUGUGUUUGACUUUGUAAAAGACUGUCACGACCACUACACAAUUCGGUGACGGUUAUCAUUUUUAAAUUAUUACAUUUUUAGCGUCUGUACCGACGACUUGCAGCUGCCGCAGCACUAGAGUUGGUCAAUAUUUGACUUAGGCAUAUCAGGG